GCAUAUCAAAAGCGGAGGAAAAGAAACCAACAGGGAUUGCCUUAGUAGCGGCGAGUGAAGCGGCAAAAGCUCAAAUUUGAAAUCUGGCUCUUUCAGAGUCCGAGUUGUAAUUUGAAGAAGGUAUCUUUGGGUCUGGCUCUUGUCUAUGUUUCUUGGAACAGAACGUCACAGAGGGUGAGAAUCCCGUGCGAUGAGAUGAUCCAGGCCUAUGUAAAGUUCCUUCGAAGAGUCGAGUUGUUUGGGAAUGCAGCUCUAAGUGGGUGGUAAAUUCCAUCUAAAGCUAAAUAUUGGCGAGAGACCGAUAGCGAACAAGUACAGUGAUGGAAAGAUGAAAAGAACUUUGAAAAGAGAGUGAAAAAGUACGUGAAAUUGUUGAAAGGGAAGGGCUUGAGAUCAGACUUGGUAUUUUGUAUGUUACUUCUUCGGGGGUGGCCUCUACAGUUUAUCGGGCCAGCAUCAGUUUGGGCGGUAGGAGAAUUGCGUUGGAAUGUGGCACGGCUUCGGUUGUGUGUUAUAGCCUUCGUCGAUACUGCCAGCCUAGACUGAGGACUGCGGUUUAUACCUAGGAUGUUGGCAUAAUGAUCUUAAGUCGCCCGUCUUGAA
rnacentral:rRNA from 1 species